rnacentral:rRNA from 1 species
CCUACGGGAGGCAGCAGCCGCGGUAAUACGUAUGGAGCAAGCGUUAUCCGGAUUUACUGGGUGUAAAGGGAGCGCAGGCGGCCUUGCAAGUCUGAUGUGAAAGGCCGGGGCCCAACCCCGGGACUGCAUUGGAGACUGCGAGGCUGGAGUGUCGGAGAGGCAGGCGGAAUUCCUAGUGUAGCGGUGAAAUGCGUAGAUAUUAGGAGGAACACCAGUGGCGAAGGCGGCCUGCUGGACGAUGACUGACGCUGAGGCCCGAAAGCGUGGGGAGCAAACAGGAUUAGAUACCCCCGU